UACGUAGGGUGCAAGCGUUGUCCGGAAUUAUUGGGCGUAAAGAGCUCGUAGGCGGUCUGUCGCGUCUGCUGUGAAAACCUGGGGCUUAACCCCGGGCCUGCAGUGGGUACGGGCAGACUAGAGUGCGGUAGGGGAGACUGGAAUUCCUGGUGUAGCGGUGAAAUGCGUAGAGAUCGGGAGGAACACCGGUGGCGAAGGCGGGUCUCUGGGCAUGGUCCGACGCGUGAGGCGCGAAAGCGUGGGGAGCGAACAGG
rnacentral:rRNA from 1 species